AAAAUGUUAAAAGAAGUUCUCUUGUUUUUGUUAAGGGGCCCCAAUGAUAUGCAUGCAAUGGAGUGAUACGCCCUUAUGAGCAGGGAAGAGGAGAGUGUCCUCUCAUUUGUUGGCAACACAUACAUGUAGGGUUAUUAAUGGAUUGGAUUUUGAUUUGAAUUCGAUCUGAAUUCGAUGAAAUUAAUAGAAGAUGGAUUUAGGGUCUCAAUCAGAUAGUCCGUUGACUAAAUGAAGCAAAUAUGGAUGCGUGGUGGACUUGUGGUAAUAUGAUAUGGAGAUAGAGCUCAAACUUCAAAAGCUGCUCUUGAGAAUUUUUUCAUUCGUUUUUGUUGCUCACUUGAACGUUUGUUGGAUAUGUAGUCAUUGCAAUAUUUCAUAUCUUGGUUCUUUUUGGUAUCAUCAUGUGGAUUUUUAUUGAAAUUGACAAUAGGUUAAUAUGGUUAUUUU